UGUGGGAGCGAGCUUGCUCGCGAUGGCGUUGUGUCAGUCGAUCAAGUAUUGCCCGACGUGCCGCCAUCGCGAGCAAGCUCGCUCCCACA
rnacentral:antisense_RNA from 1 species